rnacentral:rRNA from 1 species
AGGCUUAACACAUGCAAGUCGGACGGAAACGAUAGAGAAGCUUGCUUUUCUAGGCGUCGAGUGGCGGACGGGUGAGUAACGCGUGGGAAUCUACCCUAUAGUUGGGGACAACGUAUGGAAACGUACGCUAAUACCGAAUAUGCUCUACGGAGUAAAGGAGCCCUCUUCCUGAAAGGUUUCGCUAUAGGAUGAGCCCGCGUGAGAUUAGCUAGUUGGUAAGGUAAUGGCUUACCAAGGCAACGAUCUCUAGCUGGUUUGAGAGGAUGAUCAGCCACACUGGGACUGAGACACGGCCCAGACUCCUACGGGAGGCAGCAGUGGGGAAUAUUGCACAAUGGACGAAAGUCUGAUGCAGCCAUACCGCGUGUGUGAAGAAGGCCCGAGGGUUGUAAAGCACUUUCAAUUGUGAGGAAGGUAGUGUAGUUAAUACCUGCAUUGCUUGACGUUAACUUUAGAAGAAGCACCGGCUAACUCUGUGCCAGCAGCCGCGGUAAUACAGAGGGUGCAAGCGUUAUUCGGAAUUACUGGGCGUAAAGCGCGCGUAGGCGGACUAUUAAGUCAGUUGUGAAAGCCCUGGGCUCAACCUAGGAACUGCAUCUGAUACUGGUAGUCUAGAGUUUAGGAGAGGGAAGUGGAAUUCCAGGUGUAGCAGUGAAAUGCGUAGAUAUCUGGAGGAACAUCAGUGGCGAAGGCGACUUCCUGGCCUAAAACUGACGCUGAGGUGCGAAAGCAUGGGUAGCGAACGGGAUUAGAUACCCCGGUAGUCCAUGCCGUAAACGAUGUCAACUAGUUGUUGGUCCUAUUAAAAGGAUUAGUAACGAAGCUAACGCGAUAAGUUGACCGCCUGGGGAGUACGGUCGCAAGAUUAAAACUCAAAGGAAUUGACGG